rnacentral:tRNA from 1 species
UGCGGCAUAUUUUACUUAAAAUACUUAUCUUACACGUAAGAGACCCUGCUAAGGUUCCGUAA